AUUGAACGCUGGCGGCAGGCCUAACACAUGCAAGUCGAACGAGUGGCGGACGGGUGAGUAAUGUCUGGGAAACUGCCUGAUAGAGGGGGAUAACUACUGGAAACGGUAGCUAAUACCGCAUACCAUCGGAUGAUCCCAGAUGGGAUUAACUAGUAGGUGGGGUAAAGGCCCACCUAGGCGACGAGCCCUAGCUGGUCUGAGAGGAUGACGAGCCACACUGGAACUGAGACACGGUCCAGACUCCUACGGGAGGCAGCAGUGGGGAAUAUUGCCCAAUGGGCGCAAGCCUGAUGCAGCCAUGCCGCGUGUAUGAAGAAGGCCUUCGGGUUGUAAAGUACGUUCAGCGGGGAGGCGUUACCCGCAGAAGAAGCACCGGCUAACUCCGUGCCAGCAGCCGCGGUAAUAC
rnacentral:rRNA from 1 species